rnacentral:snoRNA from 1 species
AGCUCAUGAUUUGGGCAUUGGGAUAGCUCCCCAUUAAACCUCUCCCAAGCUUCAAACAAUGGUUCUUCAUUUAUUUACCUGAGGUU